rnacentral:rRNA from 1 species
AUUGAACGCUGGCGGCAUGCCUUACACAUGCAAGUCGAACGGCAGCGCGUCCUUCGGGAUGGCGGCGAGUGGCGAACGGGUGAGUAAAGCAUCGGAACGUGCCCGGUAGUGCGGGAUAGCUCGGCGAAAGCCGGAUUAAUACCGCAUGAGAUCCGAGGAUGAAAGCAGGGGACCCGCAAGGGCCUUGCGCUACUGGAGCGGCCGAUGUCAGAUUAGGUAGUUGGUGAGGUAAAGGCUCACCAAGCCUGCGAUCUGUAGCUGGUCUGAGAGGAUGGCCAGCCACAUCGGGACUGAGACACGGCCCGGACUCCUACGGGAGGCAGUAGUCGGGAAUAUUGGACAAUGGGCGCAAGCCUGAUCCAGCAAUACCGCGUGUGUGAAGAAGGCCUGCGGGUUGUAAAGCACUUUCAGUUGGGAAGAAACGAUUGCAACUAAUAAUUGUAAUUAAUGACGGUACCGACAGAAGAAGCACCGACUAACUACGUGCCAGCAGCCGCGGUAAUACGUGAAAAGAAGGGGUAAAAGGGGGGGGAUAGGUGACGUGGGGAGGAACAAACCGGUAAGGGGAAGUAAAGUGGGGGGGUGAGGCACACGGGAAGGGUUUGGGGGGUGGAGCUAGGGGUAUUAAGUUUACGGCCGGGGGAGUACGCUCGCCAGAGUAAAACUCAAGGGGGGGGAGGGGGGCCCGCACAAAGCGGGGGGGCGGGGGGAUAAUUGGAUGAGACGAGGAGAACCUUAGGUGGGCUUGACAGAUAGUGGACGUAGCAGAAAUGGUGGGUGCCUUGCGGGGACGCUAACACAGGUGCUGCACGGCUGUCGUCAGCUAGUAUCGGGAGAUGUGGGGGUAAAUAACGCAACGAGCGCAACCCCUAUCCCUGGUUGCCAGCACGUAAUGGUGGGAACUCUAAGGAGACUGCCGGUGACAAACCGGAGGAAGAGUGGGGAUGACGUCAAGUCAUCAUGACCCUUAUGGCCAGGGCGACACACGUGCUACAAUGGGUGGUACAGAGGGAAGCAAGACCGCGAGGUGGAGCAAAUCCCAGAAAGCCAUCCGUAGUCCGGAUUGGAGUCUGCAACUCGACUCCAUGAAGUCGGAAUCGCUAGUAAUCGCGGAUCAGCAUGCCGCGGUGAAUACGUUCCCGGGCCUUGUACACACCGCCCGUCACACCAUGGGAGUUUGUUGCACCAGAAGCAGGUAGUCUAACCGAAAGGAGGGCGCUUACCACGGUGUGGC